rnacentral:tmRNA from 1 species
GGGGCUGAUUAGGAUUCGACGGGAUAUAUAAAGCUCAAGGUGCAUGCCGAGGUGAGGCUGGCCUCGUAAAAAGCCUCAAACUUAUAGUUGCAAACGACGACAACUACGCUUUAGCGGCUUAAUCCCCGCUAACCAUCCACCCGCGCUUUGUCUGUAAGACGGGAUUCGGAUGGUCAUCUUUACAGACUCGCGUGGCGGCUUCGUCCGGAGCCAAGACGUUAAAACCAAUCGGACUCGCGUUUGAAAAGCCUGCCCCUCGGCGCUUCAAACGUUAACUAAAAGAGACGGCUAAGCAUGUAGGACCGAGGGUGGCGAUAUUGCGGACGCGGGUUCAAAUCCCGCCAGCUCCACCA